rnacentral:rRNA from 1 species
GACGAACGCUGGCGGCGUGCUUAACACAUGCAAGUCGAACGGAAAGGCCCCUUUGGGGGUCCUCGAGUGGCGAACGGGUGAGUAACACGUGAGUAACCUGCCCUUGACUUCGGGAUAACUUCAGGAAACUGGGGCUAAUACCGGAUAGGAAUCCUUGCUGCAUGGUGGGGGUUGGAAAGCUUCGGCGGUUUUGGAUGGACUCGCGGCGUAUCAGCUUGUUGGUGGGGUAGUGGCUUACCAAGGCUUUGACGGGUAGCCGGCCUGAGAGGGCCACCGGCCACAUUGGGACUGAGAUACGGCCCAGACUCCUACGGGAGGCAGCAGUGGGGAAUAUUGCACAAUGGGCGGAAGCCUGAUGCAGCAACGCCGCGUGCGGGAUGACGGCCUUCGGGUUGUAAACCGCUUUCAGCAGGGGCGAAGCUUGUGGUGACGGUACCUGCAGAAGAAGCACCGGCUAACUACGUG